rnacentral:rRNA from 1 species
AGUGAACGCUGGCGGUAGGCCUAACACAUGCAAGUCGAACGGCAGCACAGUAAGAGCUUGCUCUUACGGGUGGUGAGUGGCGGACGGGUGAGGAAUACAUCGGAAUCUACUUUUUCGUGGGGGAUAACGUAGGGAAACUUACGCUAAUACCGCAUACGACCUACGGGUGAAAGCAGGGGAUCUUCGGACCUUGCGCGAUUGAAUGAGCCGAUGUCGGAUUAGCUAGUUGGCGGGGUAAAGGCCCACCAAGGCGACGAUCCGUAGCUGGUCUGAGAGGAUGAUCAGCCACACUGGAACUGAGGAAAGGUCCAGACUCCUACGGGAGGCAGCAGUGGGGAAUAUUGGACAAUGGGCGCAAGCCUGAUCCAGCCAUACCGCGUGGGUGAAGAAGGCCUUCGGGUUGUAAAGCCCUUUUGUUGGGAAAGAAAAGCAGCAGGUUAAUACCCCGCUGUUCUGACGGUACCCAAAGAAUAAGCACCGGCUAACUUCGUG